UGCAAGUCGAGCGAAUGAUGAGGAGCUUGCUCCUCUGAUUUAGCGGCGGACGGGUGAGUAACACGUGGGUAAUCUGCCUGUAAGACGGGGAUAACUCCGGGAAACCGGGGCUAAUACCGGAUAAUAAGAGAAGAAGCAUUUCUUCUUUUUGAAAGUCGGUUUCGGCUGACACUUACAGAUGAGCCCGCGGCGCAUUAGCUAGUUGGUGAGGUAACGGCUCACCAAGGCGACGAUGCGUAGCCGACCUGAGAGGGUGAUCGGCCACACUGGGACUGAGACACGGCCCAGACUCCUACGGGAGGCAGCAGUAGGGAAUCUUCGGCAAUGGGCGAAAGCCUGACCGAGCAACGCCGCGUGAGCGAUGAAGGCCUUCGGGUCGUAAAGCUCUGUUGUUAGAGAAGAACAAGUACGAGAGUAACUGCUCGUACCUUGACGGUACCUAACCAGAAAGCCACGGCUAACUACGUGCCAGCAGCCGCGGUAAUACGUAGGUGGCAAGCGUUAUCCGGAAUUAUUGGGCGUAAAGCGCGCGCAGGCGGUCUCUUAAGUCUGAUGUGAAAGCCCACGGCUCAACCGUGGAGGGUCAUUGGAAACUGGGAGACUUGAGUGCAGGAGAGAAAAGUGGAAUUCCACGUGUAGCGGUGAAAUGCGUAGAGAUGUGGAGGAACACCAGUGGCGAAGGCGGCUUUUUGGCCUGUAACUGACGCUGAGGCGCGAAAGCGUGGGGAGCAAACAGGAUUAGAUACCCUGGUAGUCCACGCCGUAAACGAUGAGUGCUAGGUGUUGGGGGGUUCCACCCUCAGUGCUGAAGUUAACACAUUAAGCACUCCGCCUGGGGAGUACGACCGCAAGGUUGAAACUCAAAGGAAUUGACGGGGGCCCGCACAAGCAGUGGAGCAUGUGGUUUAAUUCGAAGCAACGCGAAGAACCUUACCAGGUCUUGACAUCCUUUGACCACUCUAGAGAUAG
rnacentral:rRNA from 1 species